GGGGAAGUUACAUAUUUUGAAAUAGAGUACUAUUAUAUUUCCGUAUUUGUGCCAUAAUUGGUGGCUCUUGUAUCCGUAAAAGGAAGGAUCAUUUAUGAUGACUUGUUGCCAUUUUAUGAUGGAUUUUUGGAUCUUUUAUGGUUAAUGGAUUAAUUGGUGUAUACCAAAUUUAUUGUGCCUUAAUGAGGUAUAUUAUAGCGCCAUUAAUGGUUGAUUGAUUGAUUGGUGUAUAUCAAACUUGUAUUGCGUUAAUAAUAAGAAGAAGGCAUAAUCGUGAUAUAUUUGUUUGAUAAGAUUUUGUCUUAUAUUUGACCAGAUAUAUCUUAACUAUGUUUUCAAUAUCCAAACUUUA
rnacentral:lncRNA from 1 species